rnacentral:rRNA from 1 species
CAAGAAGUGUUUUCCGCUUCGGACCAUGCCUAAGUCCCUUGGAAAAGGGCAUCAUAGAGGGUGAUAAUCCCGUACAUGGCAUGGAGCGCCCGAGGCUUUGUGAUACGCUUUCUAAGAGUCGAGUUGUUUGGGAAUGCAGCUCAAAAUGGGUGGUAAAUGCCAUCUAAGGCUAAAUAUUGGGGAGAGACCGAUAGCGAACAAGUACAGUGAUGGAAAGAUGAAAAGAACUUUGAAAAGAGAGUUAAACAGUACGUGAAAUUGCCAAAAGGGAAGGGUAGGAGGUCAGAGAUGCGUCUUGGGAUUCAGCCUUGCUUUUGCUUGGUGUUUUUCCCAAGUUGCAGGCCAACGUCGGUUUUGGGCACUGGAGAAGGGUGGAAGGAACGUGGCACCUCUCGGGGUGUGUUAUAGCCUUCUACUGGAUACAGCGACCGAGACCGAGGACAGCAGCGUACUCGCAAGAGCGGGCCUUCGGGCACCUUUACGCUUAGGGCGUUGGCAUAAUGGCCCUCUACCACCCGUCU